UAAAACGCGCCGUCCUAAACGAACGAGCCGCCAACAAAAGCUUUUGUCGCAGUCCAGCGAAAAAAUGGUCAAGUUUUUCUCCAAGUUCCAUCUUCCCAGCUUCCGGAGUCUGGGAAUGGACCACAGGUCAGACUCGAAAUGGGUCCUGACCUCCAAAGAUGGCACAGUCCACCCUCUACCUGCAGGGAUGAUAUUCAUUGGGCGACAGGAAUGUGACAUUAUAGUUGAUUCUGCCAGUGUGGACAAAAGGCAUGCGGUGAUAUUCUUCAAUCCAAGUGACAAAUGUUUUCACGUGAAGGACCUCAACAGUGUCACGGGGACAUACUUGAAUGGUGUCCGAAUACCGGAACAGUCUUACGUCAAGCUCAACCAUUUGGACUCUCUCCGCUUUGGUUAUGGGCAUGAAGUGUUUUGUGUCCACAAGACCACCGAUCGUGCAGUGCCUUUAGAUUCUGCAUCGCCCAAAAGGAACACGCCUGCAUUUGGCGAUGGAGACUUGGUGAUAAGAGAGGAUUCCAGUGCCAACAGAACAUUGUCGCGUGACAGUCCUGCUUCCGAAAGCUCCGACAAGAUGCUGCACUCCAGUAAUGGGGCUCACAGUGCGGCAUUCUUGCGAGAAAGUCCGAGCCAAGAUGCGCAGUCUCAGCUCGGCAGUCCCGCGCGUUCCACACAUUCGGCGGAGGAUGUGAUACCACACCGCAUGAAGCUCUCUUCCCCGUCGAGUUCUCGGUCACCGGAAGCACAGCCUCCCUCUUCCACGGGGUGCAGUCGGCAUCCAUCUCCGCCCCUGACCUCAACUUCCAAGGAAACCUCGCCCCUUGCCUCGCGCCCUCAUAGCACGGUGGCCUCCCCACCGAUAUCAUCUCCCCCGACGCCUGCUGCGGCUACCACCUCCUCCCCCGUAGGGUCUGAUCCCGCCAGCCCAGAGAAAGCAUCUUCGAGCUCGCCUUCCAGUGCCGAGAAAGAGGCAUCUCUGUCAUCACCCGUGAUGCAGGAUGCGGACUCUCUGGAAGAUCUGAGCAGAACUGAGGAUUCCCUGAGCACAGUGAGGGAAGUGCUCCCCCCGGUUAGACCACCUCCCACCAAGCCCACUACCUUGUCCUGGAAACCAUUGCAUUCACCCAGCAAGCCACAUGCACCUCCACCACCAACAAGACCUGAAGAAAAGGGUGAUGAUGAGUCAUCUCCUGGAGGCUGUGGAACAAAGUCUACAGCCUCGAAGGACGAACAGUCGCCUUGUCCAGACACUCCUGCCUCCCAGACGCAGGCGUCUGGCUCCACAGCUAUGGCCUUCACGAUCCACUUCGACAACGACGCGACCGGAGGCAGGCCGCUGGCCCUCAAGGACAGCAUACGAAAGUUUGCGCCCCCGAAACCCGAGUCGGAGCGAACGCCGUCCAAGAGUCGAGCCUCGCCAGUGUCCAAGCCCGGCGAGCCGUCGUCUACCGUGAGCGCAGGCGGUCGUAGGACGCCCACUAGUCCCACUAAUGCUUCCGACUUGGCAAAACGGCGGUGGAGCGGUGCGGAGGUCCGCAACAGGAGCGGCGGAGGAGGAGGGUGGAGCUCAGACGUCGAGCCCAGCCGCCAAGGGAGGCGGCAGGAUGACCAGCGUCUAAGCGACUCGGCCUCUUACUUGAUCCAGAGGAUGCUGAACGAUGGGCCUGCACGGGCACCUCUGCCGGGUCCCAUCAAGAGUGCCUCGUCGGCGGCGGCGCGCAUCGAGCCAAGUUCGGGCUUGGAGCAGGUGUUGUCUCCCGCCGACGAUCGGAGCGAGACCGGCACGUACACCGUCGAGACGGACCGCAUGGACCCAGACGUGGAGGAGGCUCGUCGUAGGAUUGACGAAGUGUUUGGUGUGUCUUCGUACAAUCACCCGUCCAGUGCGGAGCAGUACCAGAGGGUGAGGCCGGAAGGUGAAGGGGUCUCUGGUUCCAGGCCAAGGAGCCAGGGUAAUGUUCAGAGCUUGUGUUUCAAGUUCGGUGGUGGUGGUGGUGGUGGUGGUGUCGUUGGCCCUGCAUUUUCAGGUGGUUCCAUCGAUCUCAACCGCACUAAGCGGCGGCUUCCAACGCCACCCUUGGAGCGUGCUCCGCUGGACAUCUUUGUGCCAUCCACAGAAAGCAGUAGCGCCACUGUGAGCGCUGCAAGGAAGUCUGCACCCACGGCUCUUCAGGCUCCCGCUGCAUGUGCCAAUGCCACGGCAAGGAAGCGGCUGGGCUCCACUGGAAGCCGUCCGAGUCCUCCGUGCUCUCCGCCCAGAACCCACCGGACCACGUUCACCAAGACUCCGUCGAACAAAGUCAUGUCGACGUCAUUUGGUGACGGCACCUUUCUACGGCAGACGCCAGCGGCCAGCAGUUCCGCCCAGCGCCGCAGCGCACCGCCACAGCGCAAGUCGUGGGGGCUCACCGGCUCCGAAGCCGACUUGGCUGCCGGCAGCGAUCUGGCCUGUGGCUCCGAGGAGACUGCCAGUGUCGUGUCGGACACCAGCACGGAGCCGUCGUCCCACAGCUCGGGCUCUAGGGGUGGCCCGCAGAUGAAGCUGAACCGGGCCUUUGCUCUGAGGAGGGCGCGACUGGGGCUACCAGAGGUGGGCGGUCUUCCCCCUGCGACAGCAGCACCUCCACGCGGGAAGACUCCUCACCAUGGCAGCAAUCCCAACCUCUCAAGGCAAGAUGGCGGCCGCUUCAGCCUCCGGCUGCCCCGCGGAGUCAGAGCCACGGAUGUUGGCGUUACGAGGGCAGAACUUCUCCGUGGAAAAGCCCACCACCAACGCACUGACAGUGACCCGACAGCUGCCUAUCGUUCACAGCAGCACUCUGUGUCCGACGGAGAGAGUCGGCACCACUCCCCACGAGUUCAGAGGAAGCAGCCGGCUGGCAAGUCGUACAUUUCGGACGGUGACGACGAUGCCCGGACGGGAUCACCGGUUCAGUUCGGACGUUCCGCGUCCUUUGGCGGCCACCGUGACCUCGCGCUUACGCCAGCUGCAUCCGACCGGCAGCACCGGGGUCGCUCUGCAGCGGUCCCGACUACUGGCAGCUCACUGUCACGUGGUGAAACAUUCCUCAAGGGAGGUGCAGGAGCCAGUGGCACCACGUUUGUCCGAAGCGGACGUAAGCCAGAGAGGCAGUCUGGUGAUGGAGAGAGCAAAACACCAACAGAAAAUGGUGUCAAGACUCCAUCCACAACACCAGGCAGGAGAGAGCUGUCGGCAUUGGACAGCCUGGUGAUCUCUGCCAUCCACCAGCUGUCGGGGAAACUGCGCACUAGUGCCCGCACGCUCAUCGAGAAGGAAAGGCUGAAGUAUCCCGAAAACAGCGAUGUCCGGCUCAUGUUAGAAGAGGUCCUUCCGAGGGUCGUCGAGAGGCGACCCAGCGACUCUCCGACAGAUGGCAACCUGACGAGAGAGCUUUCGAGCAUCCUGAAAAACCUCAAAAGAAUCGAACAAAGCCUCGAAGUGCUGAACUCUCUGGCCCCAUGCGAACGUGACGGCUCGUCGGAUGUCGUCCCGGAGACCACGACCAAAACCGCGCCCGCUGCCCAGAAGCCGAGGGGUGGCUUUUUCUACGUGGAUGUCUGAGAAGUUGUGGUGUGGCCACACCUGUUGAUAUCGACCAUGUGUGUUAGUGGACGGGCAUUGGCCUGUUCGCAGAGGCUAGACUGGGUUUUGUGGGAUCACACGACGCUACACUGACUCUCGUCCGCCUCGCAUCCGUUCUUCAAUUACUUUUUGUCUUCCUAGCUUUGUUACCAUGGGGUCAGUUCCAUGACAUUUCACUGCAAGCGCUUGUUCUGGCGAAGCGUCUGUCAUUCAAGAAUCUGAAGGAUUGUGCUCAAUGUUUGCAAUAUGCCAAUUGAGGAUGACUGUCGUUUAAAAAUGGGGUCUGCUUGGACAAAUCCUGGAAGGCACUAUUUUAGACAUUAUUUAUGUUCUUCAAAGUUUUUUUUUGGUGAAGUAAAGCCUCGAUGAUUUGAAAUCUCUCAAUACACAAUCUCUGAUGACAGUAUUUCUGUGAUCCCAAAGUUUACCGUUAUUAUGACUGGAACUUGAGUAACCAGCCUGCUGUUUGUAGUUAAUUAGUAACCUUGGCCAUAGCAGCAGCACUUCUAAUCUUGGAGGCUUGGCAGGCCGUGUCCAAAUUCAUGUCUCAGUGAUGGCUCAUUCUCUGCAAUGUAAGUAGACCUCAGAGGCGAUGCUAAUAUUAGCUGCGUGGUCCGGAAACAGAUUUAAGAGCCAGCGAUCGGUCAUAGCAGCUCUGUGCUGUGGUCUGGCAUAAGAGUUCAGGGUGAUUAAAGAAGCAUCUGGGACAGCUCAUGGAGAGAAAGUGCCAGUACCACGAUCUGAUAGUAAAGGCAUGCUGUAGUGGGCCACAGAAUAAUUUUGACCAGCUGAGGUUUUUUUUAGUGUGCUCCUAAACCUAUACUCUAUCUCGCAAGUAACUUGGAACACUGCCUAAGCUAAGAGGUGUGCAAGCCGUAUCCUGACACAGCUGAACAUAGUGCCAGAUGCGAGUGCCUGGUUAUUGGCCAGAUGGAGAGCUGUAGAUUCGUUCAAUGUGUGCUGGGUUACAGCAAUACGUGAUACACUAGAUGUUCUUUGCACGUACUUUGUAUAUUGUUGCGAUUACUGCCAGUAACUGUGAUUACAUAGCAACAUGGCAGUGCCCAUGCAGACAUGACCGCCCACUUCAAUCCGAACUCGUGCUUGCUUCUUGCCCCGACAGCGAGAAGUAGGUGGUAAAAGCAACCAUUGCUUUAUGUCAUCCUGCACUCGGGACAAAGCAUCAGCUAUUCUUGCUGUUAUUGAGAUUAGCUGUUGGUUUUGAUGCCGCUAGGCAUACCAAGGUGAUGUCGAGCCAUAAAAAGUGUUUAAUUUCAACUUAUAGGAUGGCAAUACAGCGUUAGCCUUGGUGGUGCUUUGACGAUGAGGAACACUCUAAAAGCCACGUUAUUCACUGCAUCACUAGUCCUCUAUGCUCUAAUAUGAUAGGUUGGGACAUGGGCAAGCAAACGUCAGCUAGACGCCGAGCAGACGAUGCCCCACUGGUGAACAUAUUUGGAGGACUGCUGGCUAAAAGGGCUGCAAGACACAGUCGAGAAAGAUAAAGCAAAGCCUCAUUAUUGCAUUCUUGUAAACUCUGCUUAGGAUUACAGCAUCAAAACUCAAGUUGCAUAAACGCACUAGGAGCACGGUGAAGAAAUGCUGAGCAGACGUGGCACAGGUGAACACAUCAUGAGGAGCUUCCCACAGCACUGCAAGGAACUACUCAGAUAGUUUAUUACAUGGAUGUUUCUGCGUCGAAAUGUGGUCACUGUUGCUGGCAUUGAACUGGUGACCUUGAGCUCGGCAAUGCAUUGCUGUAGCCACCGACUUUAAAGGUGUGUCACCUCUGUACAUCUUAUGGCUGGCUUUAGCUUUAUUGUUUUCUGGUAUUAUGGAAUGCCGCUUAAUUGACAUCUUUCGGUCAGGAAGACUUCGAAUUAACGAGGUUUUACUUGACUUUUUCGCAUCUCAAUUGCUUGUGAACGAUGUGCAAGCCGUCGUAGUCAUUUUUAUGCCCGCGCAGCUACUGUACAAAAAGACCGACCAUGUCCGUUGUUGUUAAGCAUGAAGUCCAUCCUUGCGAUGAACAUUCAUCCUGUUCUCCUUUUUUUUUUGUGUUCACAAGCUGAACUUGCAGAGUAAAUCUCGUUCAACGCAUUGUACAUAGACUUGUAAAUGAGAAGGCACUGCUUUGUGAUACUUUAGGGGGGCACAUGCAAGUCUCCUGUGAUGCAUGUGUUGACAGUAUACAUAAUGUAAUGUACAUUACUGUUGAUAUUAUAUAGAAAAUUUCUCUUAUAGCAUCUUAUGCUUUUUUUUUCUUGAAGGAGCGAGCUUGAAAUACUGAAGAGUGCUUUGAGACAAACCCUUGUCAAAAAGAGGGGGUUGCAUGUCUCGAUGUGUAAUUUCAAAGGCAGCUGUCUAAAAACUGGUGCACUUCACUUUUUGCUAAAGAUUGCCGAUGUUAUGCCGUUUGAUUCAUACAAUAAAAAAGUCUUCCGAAUCUGCGUUAAAA
rnacentral:misc_RNA from 1 species